rfam:Hordeum vulgare subsp. vulgare, WGS project CAJW01000000 data, contig: morex_contig_98575
CUAGUACUUCCUCCGUCGCAAAAUUAUUGUCUUAAAUUUGUCUAGAUAUGAAUGNNNNNNGUCAAGUUUUAGUAUUUAGAUACAUUCAUUUUUAGACAAACUUAAGACAAGAAUUUUGGGACGGAGGGAGUACUAA